CUCCGCGGGUUCCGGGAUCGGGAAGAGCCAAGGGCGCCUCUAGGGUGCAGCUGGAGAGGGGGCUCAGCGGGGCGCGGCACGGGGACCCCGCUGUGUCUUCCCCGCCCGGGGUGCGCGGGGUGCACGGAGCCCGGAUGGCUGGCUCGCCCUCUGGGGAGCCGGCCGCCCUCGCCCCGCCCUGGCUUAGGACCGGCGAGGUGCGGCGCUGCGCCCACCACCCGGCGGAGGCGCAGAGGCGUCUUCCCCGAAGUGGUGCGUGCGGCGACACAAAGGGUCGCAGUCUGGGCCCCGCCCUGGGGAGCUGUAAGCUGUCGAACUAGUCUCUGGCAGGCCUCUUGGGGGUUCCCCGAAGCGUCCCCGAGACUUGCGGCUGUAAGGUCACCGGGCCGAGGGUGGAAGAGGCGGUCCAGGGCUCCAUCCUUUGCCAGAGGCCACAUCGCCGGGAGGGCCCAGAAAUCUGUGUUUUGGUUGGAAUUUCGGUGGAAUUAGGAACCGAGAGGAGACAUUUCCACACUCUGAAGACAGCUGUGUCGCCUCCUUUGAGGAACCUCACUCCAGAGACCUGUUUGCUUUGUUCGACCUCCGAAUCCAACUGACCCACUCGAUUGGGCCCAUGAUGAGGGAGUGGAGUCAAGUCACUUGCCUGUCACUGAAUGUGGUUUCUUUUGGGAAUGGCCAAACAGGGUUUGGGAAGGAGAAUCCCAGACAGGAUCCUAGCCGGACCCCUGCCCCAACUCGUGCAAAAGAAAAAAAGAGAAGAAACAAAACAAAACAAAACCCUUAGGAGAUGUCAGCGAAAAAGAAAAAAAGGAAAGGAUAGGGGAAAAAAAAAAAAACUAAAACAAUUUAUCUUAUGCUUGCUGAUGCCCUCUUCCCCUUUCCUGACCCUUUUCCUUGCUUUCAGGAUGAAUUAAAAUUAUUAUCUGUUUGG